rnacentral:sRNA from 1 species
AAUCACCUGGGUGCAGGCGGGCUGAGUCUGAAAAGAGAGUCAGCAAAGGGAGACAAGGAUUAAAUGGCUACAGGAUGGGAGUCAAAGCCUCUUUGGAAGAUUGCAUAAUGAUUGCAUCUACAUUCUCAUUGACACGUCUCACUCAAUGAAGAGCAAACUGGACUUGGUGAAGGACAAGAUCAUUCAGUUCAUACAGGAACAGCUGAAAUAUCAAAGUAAGUUUAACUUUGUGAAGUUUGAUGGUCAAGCAGUUGCUUGGCGGGAACAACUUGCUGAAGUCAAUGAAGAUAAUUUGAAACAGGCUCAGUCCUGGAUUAGACACAUAAAGAUUGGAAGCUCCACAAACACCCUGAGUGCCCUGAAAACUGCUUUUGCUGAUAAAGAAACACGGGCAAUCUACCUUCUGACCGAUGGGAGACCUGAUCAGGUACUUAUCAGAGCUGGGAACAAAGAGGGCCUCACUGAUGUUCUGAAAGCAAAUGCUGGAAAUGGGUCUGGGGGACCUUUUCAGCUGCCACCAAAAAUCCGUGGACAUAUACUUCCUUGGCUUAGGGACUCAGAUCUGAGGUG